rnacentral:rRNA from 1 species
AUUGAACGCUGGCGGCAUGCUUUACACAUGCAAGUCGAACGGCAGCACGGGCUUCGGCCUGGUGGCGAGUGGCGAACGGGUGAGUAAUAUAUCGGAACGUACCCAGAAGUGGGGGAUAACGUAGCGAAAGUUACGCUAAUACCGCAUACGAUCUAUGGAUGAAGGCAGGGGACCGCAAGGCCUUGUGCUCCUGGAGCGGCCGAUAUCUGAUUAGCUAGUUGGUGAGGUAAAGGCUCACCAAGGCGACGAUCAGUAGCUGGUCUGAGAGGACGACCAGCCACACUGGAACUGAGACACGGUCCAGACUCCUACGGGAGGCAGCAGUGGGGAAUUUUGGACAAUGGGCGCAAGCCUGAUCCAGCAAUGCCGCGUGAGUGAAGAAGGCCUUCGGGUUGUAAAGCUCUUUUGUCAGGGAAGAAACGGUAGAGGCUAAUAUCCUUUGCUAAUGACGGUACCUGAAGAAUAAGCACCGGCUAACUACGUG